rnacentral:rRNA from 1 species
UACGUAGGGGGCAAGCGUUGUCCGGAUUUACUGGGCGUAAAGAGCGUGUAGGCGGCCAAGCAGGUCCGUUGUGAAAACUGGAGGCUUAACCUCCAGACGUCGACGGAAACCGCGUGGCUAGAGUCCGGAAGAGGAGAGUGGAAUUCCGUGGUGUAGCGGUGAAAUGCGCAGAUAUCAGGAGGAACACCGGUGGCGAAGGCGGCGAUCUGGCCCAACAUUGACACUCAGACCCGAAAGUGCGGGAUCAAACAGG